rnacentral:rRNA from 1 species
UACGUAGGGUGCGAGCGUUGUCCGGAAUUAUUGGGCGUAAAGAGCUCGUAGGUGGCGGGUCACGUCGGGUGUGAAAGCCCGGGGCUUAACUCCGGGUCUGCAUUCGAUACGGGUCUGCUGGGGUCCGGCAGGGGAGACUGGAAUUCCGUGGUGUAGCGGUGAAAUGCGCAGAUAUCAGGAGGAACACCAAUGGCGAAGGCAGCUCGCUGGGACGGUACUGACGCUGGAGACGCGAAAGCGUGGGGAGCAAACCGG